rnacentral:rRNA from 1 species
CUUUUACAAUGAAGAGUUUGAUCCUGGCUCAGGAUGAACGCUAGCUACAGGCUUAACACAUGCAAGUCGAGGGGCAGCAUUUCAGUUUGCUUGCAAACUGGAGAUGGCGACCGGCGCACGGGUGAGUAACACGUAUCCAACCUGCCGAUAACUCGGGGAUAGCCUUUCGAAAGAAAGAUUAAUACCCGAUGGUAUAAUCAGACCGCAUGGUCUUGUUAUUAAAGAAUUUCGGUUAUCGAUGGGGAUGCGUUCCAUUAGGCAGUUGGUGAGGUAACGGCUCACCAAACCUUCGAUGGAUAGGGGUUCUGAGAGGAAGGUCCCCCACAUUGGAACUGAGACACGGUCCAAACUCCUACGGGAGGCAGCAGUGAGGAAUAUUGGUCAAUGGGCGCAGGCCUGAACCAGCCAAGUAGCGUGAAGGAUGACUGCCCUAUGGGUUGUAAACUUCUUUUAUAUGGGAAUAAAGUUUUCCACGUGUGGAAUUUUGUAUGUACCAUAUGAAUAAGGAUCGGCUAACUCCGUGCCAGCAGCCGCGGUAAUACGGAGGAUCCGAGCGUUAUCCGGAUUUAUUGGGUUUAAAGGGAGCGUAGGUGGACAGUUAAGUCAGUUGUGAAAGUUUGCGGCUCAACCGUAAAAUUGCAGUUGAUACUGGCUGUCUUGAGUACAGUAGAGGUGGGCGGAAUUCGUGGUGUAGCGGUGAAAUGCUUAGAUAUCACGAAGAACUCCGAUUGCGAAGGCAGCUCACUGGACUGCAACUGACACUGAUGCUCGAAAGUGUGGGUAUCAAACAGGAUUAGAUACCCUGGUAGUCCACACAGUAAACGAUGAAUACUCGCUGUUUGCGAUAUACAGUAAGCGGCCAAGCGAAAGCAUUAAGUAUUCCACCUGGGGAGUACGCCGGCAACGGUGAAACUCAAAGGAAUUGACGGGGGCCCGCACAAGCGGAGGAACAUGUGGUUUAAUUCGAUGAUACGCGAGGAACCUUACCCGGGCUUAAAUUGCAUUUGAAUAUAUUGGAAACAGUAUAGCCGUAAGGCAAAUGUGAAGGUGCUGCAUGGUUGUCGUCAGCUCGUGCCGUGAGGUGUCGGCUUAAGUGCCAUAACGAGCGCAACCCUUAUCUUUAGUUACUAACAGGUCAUGCUGAGGACUCUAGAGAGACUGCCGUCGUAAGAUGUGAGGAAGGUGGGGAUGACGUCAAAUCAGCACGGCCCUUACGUCCGGGGCUACACACGUGUUACAAUGGGGGUACAGAAGGCAGCUACCUGGUGACAGGAUGCUAAUCCCAAAAGCCUCUCUCAGUUCGGAUCGAAGUCUGCAACCCGACUUCGUGAAGCUGGAUUCGCUAGUAAUCGCGCAUCAGCCAUGGCGCGGUGAAUACGUUCCCGGGCCUUGUACACACCGCCCGUCAAGCCAUGAAAGCCGGGGGUACCUGAAGUACGUAACCGCAAGGAGCGUCCUAGGGUAAAACUGGUAAUUGGGGCUAAGUCGUAACAAGGUAGCCGUACCGGAAGGUGCGGCUGGAACACCUCCUUU